AAGAACCAGAUAAGAAAGAGGGGA
rnacentral:piRNA from 1 species